GAUGAACGCUAGCUACAGGCUUAACACAUGCAAGUCGAGGGGCAUCAGGAAGAAAGCUUGCUUUCUUUGCUGGCGACCGGCGCACGGGUGAGUAACACGUAUCCAACCUGCCCUUUACUCGGGGAUAGCCUUUCGAAAGAAAGAUUAAUACCCGAUAGCACAAUGAUUCCGCAUGGUUUCAUUAUUAAAGGAUUCCGGUAAAGGAUGGGGAUGCGUUCCAUUAGGUUGUUGGUGAGGUAACGGCUCACCAAGCCUUCGAUGGAUAGGGGUUCUGAGAGGAAGGUCCCCCACAUUGGAACUGAGACACGGUCCAAACUCCUACGGGAGGCAGCAGUGAGGAAUAUUGGUCAAUGGGCGCUAGCCUGAACCAGCCAAGUAGCGUGAAGGAUGAAGGCUCUAUGGGUCGUAAACUUCUUUUAUAUAAGAAUAAAGUGCAGUAUGUAUACUGUUUUGUAUGUAUUAUAUGAAUAAGGAUCGGCUAACUCCGUGCCAGCAGCCGCGGUAAUACGGAGGAUCCGAGCGUUAUCCGGAUUUAUUGGGUUUAAAGGGAGCGUAGGUGGACUGGUAAGUCAGUUGUGAAAGUUUGCGGCUCAACCGCAAAAUUGCAGUUGAUACUGUCAGUCUUGAGUACAGUAGAGGUGGGCGGAAUUCGUGGUGUAGCGGUGAAAUGCUUAGAUAUCACGAAGAACUCCGAUUGCGAAGGCAGCUCACUGGACUGCAACUGACACUGAUGCUCGAAAGUGUGGGUAUCANACAGG
rnacentral:rRNA from 1 species